rnacentral:SRP_RNA from 1 species
GUGGACGUGCCACUCGCCAACCCGGUCAGAUCCGGAAGGAAGCAGCCGUAACGAAUUCGGUGCGGGUCGCUGGCAGCCUC